CUCUCUCUUCAGAGGUGUCUCUUGCUGCAUUUAUUACUUCUGGCUUUUAAAAACUUUUUAUUCAUAAAUUUCUAUAAGCAGAGAGCUAACUGAAUCAGCUCUAUCUGGAAGAAGAAAGAGGUCCCGAGUCAUUUUGCAGUUGGUAAUUUCUAACUUGCUUGAUUGCAUGUACAUUUCACACAAUUUGCUUGACAAGUGAGCCAGGACUGUGUGUUUCUCAUUCAUGACUUGGUGUGCAGAAGAAGAGGAAGAUGGUGAAAAAAUAAUCUGAAGAGUUUUGAGGAGAGAAGAGACUGAGGUUUCACUAUGUUGUGAGGUCUGCUGAGAUAAACAGCCAUUCAUGCAUUCUGCAUUUUAAAUUCCAGGCACAACUUGAAACCCAAAGAGGAACUUCUCCGAGGAGCUGGCAGACUGAGCCUGCAGAAUUUCCUUAUUUUGCUUGCCAAGAAAUAACUACUAUCAAGAAUCAGGAUAGAAUGCAACUGGGUUCUCAAGGAUAAGAGAAUUAGAACCAAGUUCAAUCAAAGCCCUGAGAAUGAGGACAAGAUGGCAGAAGACAUCCUCAAAAAUGCCAGAAAAUAAA